AGUGAACGCUGGCGGUAGGCCUAACACAUGCAAGUCGAACGGCAGCACAGUAAGAGCUUGCUCUUACGGGUGGCGAGUGGCGGACGGGUGAGGAAUACAUCGGAAUCUACUUUUUCGUGGGGGAUAACGUAGGGAAACUUACGCUAAUACCGCAUACGACCUACGGGUGAAAGCAGGGGAUCUUCGUACCUUGCGCGAUUGAAUGAGCCGAUGUCGGAUUAGCUAGUUGGCGGGGUAAAGGCCCACCAAGGCGACGAUCCGUAGCUGGUCUGAGAGGAUGAUCAGCCACACUGGAACUGAGACACGGUCCAGACUCCUACGGGAGGCAGCAGUGGGGAAUAUUGGACAAUGGGCGCAAGCCUGACCCAGCCAUACCGCGUGGGUGAAGAAGGCCUUCGGGUUGUAAAGCCCUUUUGUUGGGAAAGAAAAGCAGCAGGUUAAUACCCCGCUGUUCUGACGGUACCCAAAGAAUAAGCACCGGCUAACUUCGUG
rnacentral:rRNA from 1 species